rnacentral:rRNA from 1 species
UUUAACUGAAGAGUUUGAUCAUGGCUCAGAUUGAACGCUGGCGGCAGGCUUAACACAUGCAAGUCGAGCGGGGGAAGGUAGCUUGCUACUGGACCUAGCGGCGGACGGGUGAGUAAUGCUUAGGAAUCUGCCUAUUAGUGGGGGACAACAUCUCGAAAGGGAUGCUAAUACCGCAUACGUCCUACG